CCUGCGGGAGCUUACCAUGCAGUCGAACGGCAGCACGGACUUCGGUCUGGUGGCGAGUGGCGAACGGGUGAGUAAUGUAUCGGAACGUGCCCAGUAGCGGGGGAUAACUACGCGAAAGCGUAGCUAAUACCGCAUACGCCCUACGGGGGAAAGCAGGGGAUCGCAAGACCUUGCACUAUUGGAGCGGCCGAUAUCGGAUUAGCUAGUUGGUGGGGUAACGGCUCACCAAGGCGACGAUCCGUAGCUGGUUUGAGAGGACGACCAGCCACACUGGGACUGAGACACGGCCCAGACUCCUACGGGAGGCAGCAGUGGGGAAUUUUGGACAAUGGGGGAAACCCUGAUCCAGCCAUCCCGCGUGUGCGAUGAAGGCCUUCGGGUUGUAAAGCACUUUUGGCAGGAAAGAAACGUCGCGGGUUAAUACCCCGCGAAACUGACGGUACCUGCAGAAUAAGCACCGGCUAACUACGUGCCAGACC
rnacentral:rRNA from 1 species